ensembl:snRNA U6 U6 spliceosomal RNA
GUGCUCGCUUCAACAGCACAUAUACUAAAAUUGGAAUGAUCCAGAGAAGAUUAACAUGGCCCCUGCACAAGGAUGACAAAUAUAUAUAUAUAUGUGUGUGUGUGUGUG